GCACGACCGCCGGGCUGGGGCCACGGGCGGCGCUGCGCAUGCGUGGAGAGCAGCUGCUGUAAGGCGAGCCGGAGAAGAUGGCGGCGCCGGGGGUGGUCGGAGCUGGGGCUGCCUGGGCGCGGAACCUGCUCAGCUGGGCCCGGCCGCAGAGGUUACUAGCAUCUUGCAGUAUUUCUCUUUUGUCAAAUAUCCAAACAAGAACAUAUCGGCAGAAUGUUGGGAGAUGGGAGAAGAAGAACAGAAUAGUUUACCCUCCGCAGCUGCCAGGAGAGCCUCGAAGACCAGCAGAAAUAUUCCACUGUCGAAGGGACAUAAAAUACAGUAAGGACAAGAUGUGGUAUUUGGCAAAACUGAUAAAAGGAAUGUCAAUUGAUCAGGCUCUUGCUCAGCUGGAAUUCAAUGACAAGAAGGGCGCAAAGGUGAUCAAAGAGGUUCUUCUGGAAGCUCAAGAAAUGGCAGUGAGAAAUCACAACGUAGAAUUCAAAUCAAAUUUAUAUAUAGCUGACUCCUUUUCUGGAAAAGGCCACUAUCUGAAACGGAUUCGCUACCAUGGCCGAGAAAUGCUGUUUGCGCUUGGCCUGGAAUGCUUUGUGAUAAAUGGGGAACUACUGAAAUGGUGACACUGCAAAAGAGGGCAUGCAUGUAUCUAUUUGGCGCAUCCUGGAGGUUACAGCCAGAACUGGAACCUUCAACACCACAAGGCUGAGCAGCAGCUGAACAGAAAAUCUCAGGAAGAAAUUUGUCUUUGGGGGAUUAUCAGUGCAGUUUUGCUGACUCAUGUAUUUUUGCAGAAUGUGUGGUAAUCUCCAGUUAGCAUCUGAUUAAAAGAGGUAACGUGGUGUAGUGGAUUGGGUACUAGACUGGGAACCUGCUGAUCUGAUUUCCAUUCCUGGCUCUGCCACUAAACAGCUGGGUGCCUUUGGGCAAGUCACUUCAUUUCUGUGUGCCUAUGUUUCCCUUCGGUCUGUCUUGUCCAUUUAGAUUGUUGGUUCUUGGUGGCCAUGUGUUACCCUUACUAUGUGUUCGAACAGCACAAUGCAGCCCUGAUCUCAGCUAGGGACUCUAGACACCUGUUGUAAUAUAGAUCAUAAUCAUUAUUAAUACUCAGGAUUAAAUCUCACGAAACACCCAUUGACAUCACUGGGAGCUUUGUCUGAGUAAAGACUGGGUAAUAAGAAAGGGCCAAAUUUGGCUUGGCUUGCAAGGCUGAGCAUGGGUCUGUAAGGCCAGAUCGCAGGUAGGAGCAUUGUGCGGGGGAGAAGCGCCCAAGGGUCUGCUACAUAUCCACCUUGUGCAAGUGGGCAUGAGCAGGUAUGAUAAGGCAGGGAGUGGUCUCCACCCCGCCAAUAUACCAACUAGCAUAGUAAUGCUGGGGGAUUGCACUGCACCAGGCCUGCAGGAUGCUUCCUCCAUGGAGUAGGGGAAAACCAGAAGGCUGCUUGUGCUUCUCAGAGCCGCAGGCAGCUUCCUGAGGUACUUGUGGGGCGGUAUGGUAAUUGGCUGCCCCUUCCUUGGGGUUCAUGGCAAAGCAACAGCUGAGCUCUGAGCACAGUAAGGAAUUCUGGGGUUGGUCCAGGCUGAAGGGCAGUGAUGUUGCCAAGAGUCUGCUAGGGUAUCAGGAUGAGAUCGCCGGAGUAUUUUCCUCUGGAGAUGUAAGCCAGGAUUUAAAAGUGAGCCCUUUGUGGUAGAAAAGUAAUGUGCAUCUGAACCCCCACACAUGUAUUAAAAUAACUGGAUUUUUUUUUUAUUUUUUGUACCAGCUCCCACAUUCUCUGCUGUUUCCAUGUAGUGCUAAAUUGAACUCCAGGUGCGAUUGUAAAGCAUUCUAAGAAAGGCUUGCAUGAAAGGGGCUACAGAAAUGGAAGACAUUGUUGUGUCUCCGUAUUGUAAAUAAAAUCUAUUUCAGGUAGCCCAGCAUUCAGUUAUAGUCUAUCUGCAGAACAACUCAUCUUUCAGCUGUCUGUGAGAAAUAAAAUUAAAAGGAGAAAAUUCAGCAAAGAUGGUGAUGCAGUGACUGGAGGAAAAGAGCUGGACUCUGGAUCCAAGGUUGCGAAAGGCUGAUGAAAAUGAUGAGUUACGUAAUUAUGAGACCUGUUGCCUGCAUGGGUGGGAACUCUGGGAAGGAAGGUGGGGCAGUGGGAGGUAGGGUUGUAGGAAGUGACCAGAAUGGAGGAAGGGUGAAUGAUAUGGGGAGGGCGCUGUGGCAGUGGUGGGGGAGUUACGUCUUUCUCUAUUUAUAUCUAUAGCACCCAUCACCAUAGUUUCUAAGUGCUAGAUAACAAUGGCGAAUGUGUGCCAGGGAUUUCAGGGUGCACUAGGAAUGGGCCAGUGGCGAGUAGCAGUGAGAAAGGGGAAAUCCGGAGCAGUCAAACCAGAUUCAGCCUUAUAAGCAGAUCAUAGUCUAGACAAGAAAAAAGGUGACAAGAAAUGAGGUGAGGACCACGUGACAGUUCGACAUAUGUUGGCUGUGAUGUAAUAAACAUGAGGUUCUUUUGAUUUGUCUCAGAGUCUUUUCACGUUUUCAAUCUUUUCUCCCCAGCCAUGAGGGUUAGAUAACUACCUUUCACAAAAAGAAAACAGCACACGGAGCUUCUCCGGUCACCACCUGACUCUGGGGCCUGGGGUGAAAAAAAAAGUCACCAAAAUAUUGCAAGUCUUGCAAUAAAACCAUGAUUCUCCAGCAUGAAUUUCUCUCAAGGAUUGCUGGGUUCAGAAAUAGGACAGAUGAGCCCAAGAGAUACCAUGUAGAUUCCUUGACUUCAGCCUGACCUUCUCUUUCAUUAAGUCCAUGAAUUCAGGGGAAGGCC